AUGCUCUAUCUCUGUUCAUCUACCAGCAGGUGUCAGUGUGUUCAUCAAACAGAUGAGACGCUUACAGCUCAGAGGUGUGAAGCUACUCACCCAGAGCCACACAGCUCUAAGGGAGGAGGUUCUGCUCAGAUCUGCCCGGGAGGCAGCAGGAGGAGCACAGGUGGGCCACCGGCUACCCAGGACCCUCAGGCUCCCACAGGGUGGCCCCCUGAAGGCAGGCGGAUUGCUGGAGCUGACGAAGUCCUGGAAGACUUUCCCUCAUGGCUGUGCUUCCCCGUCCUUCUUGCUCUAAUGAGCAGCUGCCCCUCUCCACCAUCCCCUGCAGAAGAGUCAGGAACUCGUUGUUCAACAAAGGAGCGUUUGGUUUCUGUCCUGAGGCUUGCUGGGAUCCUGAAGGAGCACUGCCACUCCCUUUGUGUCCCAGGAGGUAAAGCUAGAUUCUUCCAGUGAAGAUCCAAUCAAAUGGUCAUGUCUUCCUGGAGCAGAAGUCGAUGUGGGAGCGUCCACAAGUGAGAAGAGCCCACCUGUCAAGCCCCAGCCUGAACAUAAGGUGAAGGUGCGUUCAGUGAGCCAGAGAACUUGCCUGCAGCGAACCUCCAGCACCACACGCAGGAGGUGCUGCAGGAGGGCUCACCUUUGGAGGCAAUGUCACCUUCUGACUGUACUCUCCAGAGACUUCCAACCGCACCACACAGUGCCUCUCAUCUUUCCCGUUUUCUUCCUGUAAUAUUCUCCGACAGAGUCAGGUAAACCUGGCACUCACUCGCAGGAAUUUCCAUAGAGCCCCUGGGCAGAGAAAAGAAGCAGUGCUCUGCUGAGACCUUCCUCUGGACCGCGUCUGGUUUCUCGAGAACCACACUAUCACUGGGGUGUAGAGGAACAAGGGACCUGGGGAAGGUCCCCUGGGCAUCAGGAGGCUCAUCUCACAGUGGCUGAGCUCCCACGGCCAUCACAUGACACCAUUUGCGAGUAGAUGAUGUAAAUGGUUUCAACACACAAGGUUUUUUGGGAGUCACCCCAGCCCAUUGGCCCUAUUGUAUGCACGGCAUUCUCCGCCCUUCCCCCCAGCCUUUAUUGAAGGAGCUACGGGGUGGUCAGCACGUUUGAGACUUUAAAUCUGAGAUCUAGUCUUUCAUGAAUUCAUGGCAUGUCUGCCAAGUCAAAUGCAAAACUGUCCACAUGCACAUCCACUUGACUUUGACCAGACUAGACUAUUCACUGCUCCCUAAACUUGCUCUAUGCUUUGCUGCCUCUGUGGUGGCUCCCAGGGAGGGAGAAGAGUUGUGUCUGAGUCUCUGCUCCAGCCCACGAACCCGAUGCCGUCCUGUGACUCCCGGUGAGUCCCUCAGGCCCAACUCUUAUCCCUUCUUGGCACACCUCCCCCUGCCUUUCUAUCGAUAUCCCCCCUUUUUUCCUAUAGUGGAUGAAGUACAAUAUCAAAUAAAGUGUGCACAACACAGGGGUGUUUGUAGGAA
rnacentral:lncRNA from 1 species